rnacentral:rRNA from 1 species
GAGUUUGAUCAUGGCUCAGGAUGAACGCUGGCGGCGUGCCUAACACAUGCAAGUCGAACGGAACUUUUGGGAGCUUGCUCCUGAAAGUUUAGUGGCGGACGGGUGAGUAAAAAAAAAGCAAUCUGCCCUUAAGUGGGGGACAACACCGGGAAACUGGUGCUAAUACCGCAUAAUGUAUUGAGAUCGCAUGAUUUUGAUACCAAAGGAGAAAUCCGCUUUUGGAUGAGCUCGCGUCUGAUUAGCUAGUUGGUAAGGUAAUGGCUUACCAAGGCAACGAUCAGUAGCCGGACUGAGAGGUUGAACGGCCACAUUGGGACUGAGAUACGGCCCAGACUCCUACGGGAGGCAGCAGUGGGGAAUAUUGCACAAUGGGGGAAACCCUGAUGCAGCAACGCCGCGUGAAGGAAGAAGGU